rnacentral:rRNA from 1 species
CCUACGGGUGGCAGCAGUGAGGAAUAUUGGUCAAUGGUCGGGAGACUGAACCAGCCAAGCCGCGUGAGGGACGAAGGUACCGAGCAUUGUAAACUUCUUUUGUCAGGGAACAAAGUCUGGCACGCGUCCCUGGCCGAGUGUACUUGAAGAAAAAGCAUCGGCUAACUCCGUGCCAGCAGCCGCGGUAAUACGGAGGAUGCGAGCGUUAUCCGGAUUUAUUGGGUUUAAAGGGUGCGUAGGCGGACUGUUAAGUCAGCGGUAAAAGCCCGGGGCUCAACCCCGGUGCGCCGUUGAAACUGGCAGUCUCGAGUUGGAGAGAGGUAUGCGGAAUGCGCGGUGUAGCGGUGAAAUGCUUAGAUAUCGCGCAGAACUCCGAUUGCGAAGGCAGCAUACCGGCGGCGAUCUGACGCUGAGGCACGAAAGCGUGGGUAUCGAACAGGAUUAGAUACCCUAGUAGUC